rnacentral:rRNA from 1 species
UACGAAGGGGGGCUAGCGUUGCUCGGAAUGGCUGGGCGUAAAGGGCGCGUAGGCGGCUUGCACCGUCAGAUGUGAAAUUCCUGGGCUUAACCUGGGGGGCUGCAUUUGAUACGUGUGGGCUUGAGUGCGGAAGAGGGUCGUGGAAUUCCCAGUGUAGAGGUGAAAAUUCGUAGAUAUUGGGGAAGAACACCGGUGGCGAAGGCGGCGACCUGGUCCGUGACUGACGCUGAGGCGCGAAAGCGUGGGGGAGCAAACAGG